GCCCCUGGCCUCCUAGCACAACUAGCAUAAACAUACUCCUUGAAACAAUGCUGUGGAGUGGUGUUGUGGCUUUAUUUGCUUCUAGAGGUAAAAUACAGAGGUUUGUAGCAAGGACAAAGAUUAUUUCCCAUUCAGGGCAAAAAGCUGCCUACUGUUCUUCUGUGACAAUAUUCUCAUCUCUUCCACCUCACCACCACUGCAAUAAUGAUUUCCACCUGGCUCAUCUAGCUGGGGGCUGGGCUGGCAUCAUGGCCCUGAGACGGGAGGAACCCUCACUGCAACACCCCAGACAGUUUAACUGCACUGAGCAUUUAAUUCCCAAGAACUCAUCAGGAAGAAAACUGAGCCACACGAGGUCAAACUACUGUUAUUAUUGCUCAUUGGCUCUCCACUGCUCAGACUGUGGCUGUAACAGUGGGCACUGUGCAUGGCACAGUGGUUGAAAUAGGAAUGCACACAGAGUUGAUGGAGAAAAAGGAUCCAUAUUAUUCACUUAUAGCCUCACAGAGGAACCAGUGACCACAGAAGAUCCUAAGGUUGGAUCAAGUAUCAACAGUUUGAAGCCAAAUAGAGCAAAAGGGAAAUCAUGCUCCAUAAUAAGAAGAUGAUUAAUAAACCCUGCAAAAAGUAAUGUACCACACAGGCUAAAAGGUCCAGGGAUCUCACUGAACCCUGAAACAACUAAUAUGGAAAGAAUAAAUAACUGCCAAGCAGUGUAACUGUGGACUCUCCAUCAUUGGAGCAGGUGAAGCUCCAAGCAGUGAGCCCCAGGCAGAAGGCUCUGGGUGCAGGGUGUACUGGAUGACCUCUGGAGAUUCCUUCUGACCAGCAAGAGUCUGUGAACUUAUGACAGCUGGUGAGAGCUCCUGCACACCACUUCCCCUUUCACACUGACGUCACUUCUUCAGAAGAACACGUCAAGAACUAUUUCUGUACUGAUCAGGAGGACUGUUUCCUUUUUCUAAAAUUAGUGUCAGUGAUACAGCACAUUUAUUAAGGUUGGAUUCUGUUGCUAUUUGUAGUCCUGAGGCGGCAUUAUGAAAUUAUUCAUACCUGUAUCCUCACCCUUGUUCUCUGCUUCCUCAGGAUCCUUCUGUUUGAUUCCUCCUGCUGCUGAAGACAACACUAAGAGGCUGUUUAUCCUAAAAAUGUAGAAAUAACUGUAAUUUCAAACUAUUUUUUUAUUUCUUAUGUCUGAAGAUAAUAAAAUUAAAGUGUGAAGGAUCAUUUACUGCUCUGUGAGCACUGGCCACAGUUUGAAAGUGGCCUGGUCCUCUGUUUUGCAUCAUACUUGCUGAAGGUGUAAAGUAAUUACCUU